AUUGAACGCUGGCGGCAGGCCUAACACAUGCAAGUCGAGCGGUAGAGAGAAGCUUGCUUCUCUUGAGAGCGGCGGACGGGUGAGUAAUGCCUAGGAAUCUGCCUGAUAGUGGGGAUAACGUCCGGAAGCGGACGCUAAUACCGCAUACGUCCUACGGGAGAAAGUGGGGGCUCUUCGGACCUCACGCUAUCAGAUGAGCCUAGGUCGGAUUAGCUAGUUGGUGGGGUAAAGGCUCACCAAGGCGACGAUCCGUAACUGGUCUGAGAGGAUGAUCAAUCACACUGGAACUGAGACACGGUCCAGACUCCUACGGGAGGCAGCAGUGGGGAAUAUUGGACAAUGGGCGAAAGCCUGAUCCAGCCAUGCCGCGUGUGUGAAGAAGGUCUUCGGAUUGUAAAGCACUUUGAGUUGGGAGGAAGGGUCGUUACCUAAUACGUGACGAUUUUGACGUUACCGACAGAAUAAGCACCGGCUAACUCUGUGCCAGCAGCCGCCGUAACAC
rnacentral:rRNA from 1 species